rnacentral:rRNA from 1 species
UGCGGUUAUACAAAAAUUAAAUUAAAUUUUUUUAGGAUUUAAUAAUUAAAUAUUUAAUAAAUAAUAUAAAUUUUAAAUUAUAAAGUGAAAUUUAAAUUUAAUUAAAAUUUAUUUUUUUUUAUGACAUUAAUAAAUUUUUUAAAAAACUAGGAUUAGAUACCCUAUUAUAAAAAUUUAAAUUUAAUAAACUUAAAAUAGUAUAUAAUUUUUUAUAGAAACUUAAUUAAAUUGGCGGUAUUUUAGUUCAUUUAGAGGAAUCUGUCUAAUAAUUGAUAAUCCACGAUUAAAUUUACUUAAUUUAUAAUUUUGUAUAUCGUUGUUAAAAAAAUAUUUUUAAAUAAUAUUAAUAUUUUAAAAUUUUUAUAUAAAAUUAAAUCAGAUCAAGAUGCAGAUUAUAAUUAAGAAUAUGAUGGAUUACAAUAAAAUUUAUUUAUUGGAUAUUAAUAUGAAAAUUUAAUUGAAAUUGGAUUUAAAUGUAAUUUUAAUAAUUUAAUUAAAAUGAUUAAAAAUUAAAAUAUGUACAUAUUGCCCGUCGCUUUCAUAUAUAAAUUGAAAUAAGUCGUAACAAAGUAGAAGUACUGGAAAGUGUUUCUAGAAAGAU